rnacentral:lncRNA from 1 species
UGCAGAUCAUAGAAAAUUAUGACUGAGCUUUUCAGAGGUCAUCCAGUUUAUUCCACACUCAUUAAAAAAAAAAAAGAAAAAAGAAAAAAGAGAAGAGAAGAGAAGAGAAGAGAAGAGAAGAGAAGAGAAGAGAAGAGAAGAGAAGAGAUAAAAAAAUAGAAUCAGUGAAACCAUUUCUAAUUAAUGCUUGCUCUCUUUUCUAAAUAUCCUGGGUUUGCACUCUCAUAUGGUAAUUUUAACAGUUCCAUUAUUAGGUUGAAAAUGGACCAGUUCUACUUAACAUCUACUUUAAGUGCUUGCCUGAAAAAGUAAAGUUCUGACAAACUUUGCUGCUAGUCUUGGCAGUAAAAUGAGGUGGUUAGUUAUAUCAGUUUUAAAAUAUUGAUAACAAUGGUGUUGUAAUGAUUUCUAAUUAUUGUGGGAGUUAAUCAGCUGGAUUAUGCAGUUGUAACAGCCAUGAAGUCCCAGGUCACCGCAAGUUUGUUAAAGCAUUAAGGAAUCUCACAGUGGAUACAUUUUUAUGUUGGAGAGAGUUGGUGAGUUAAGUAAGAUUGCAUGUUACUGUGUCAGAAUAAUGGAAAAUAAAUGUCUAACAGCUGUUAUUAAGCAAUAUCAGUGCAAAACAAAUCUGUUCCCAAGGACACCAUUGUGGCUGAGAAAGGACAGAUUACAAUCCCUUGCUACUAACUUUUAGCAUAGUGGGCUAAGCUUCUCUGCACUUUGUUUCUGAUGUGUUUGGGGAUUUUUUUUUCCCAUACAAGCUGAGCGCUCUGGUUUUGACAAAAAUGUUGGCUUGGCAAAAUCUUCUUGAACUUUCAGGGAAAUGGAAGAAAAGAAACCAACUGCUACUUAUGAACUGUUCUUCUAUUUGUAAUUUCUACUGCUUCUUAAAUCAAUGCCUGCAUGUGUCAGUUUUCAGAUACGGUACUGUUGUAUCUGAUUCAUUGUCUUUUUUCAUUGGUUUCCAGAAACCACUGCCUAUGGACUUGCAGUAAACAUUCAAGUGAUUCAAGCCUCUUUAAGGACUGUGAAUUUCUUGUGAAAAAUUCUUGUCUGACCUCUCUGUGCAGCAAGAAGGUAGCAGAAGAUGAAGCUGGGAGCCAUGUACAGAUUUGACGUUCAUUUUGCUGUGCUGCUUUGCUGUAAUGUGCUGUACAAGUAGACUGCUGAGUAUCCCUUAAAAUUAUGAAUAUCUUGCAUGUGUACUAAAGUGACUGUUAUGUGGUAAUGUUUGAAAGUGGUAUCUCUUAAAACAGGAGGAUUUCAAAUUAGAAAGAAUUGCUUGUAGCUUUU